AGUGGGAUUGCUGGAUCAUAUGGUUUUUCUAUUUUUAACUUUUUAAGGAAGUGCCAUAUUGUUUUCCAAAAUGGUUGUACCAUUUUGCAUUUCCACCAGCAAU
rnacentral:pre_miRNA from 1 species